rnacentral:rRNA from 1 species
UACAGAGGGGGCAAGCGUUGUUCGGAAUUACUGGGCGUAAAGGGCGCGUAGGCGGCCUUCUAAGUCGAACGUGAAAUCCCCGGGCUCAACCCGGGAACUGCGUCCGAUACUGGAAGGCUUGAAUCCGGGAGAGGGAUGCGGAAUUCCAGGUGUAGCGGUGAAAUGCGUAGAUAUCUGGAGGAACACCGGUGGCGAAGGCGGCAUCCUGGGACCGGCAUUGACGCUGACGGCGCGGAAAGCCAGGGGAGCAAAGCGGGAUUAAGAUGACCC